CCAGGCAAUUGUGUCACAGACAGUCGGAUAAUUGAAAAGGAAACAGCGUUGCUCCAGAGGAUGUAAGCAAUACAGCUCUCUAAGGGCGGGAUGCCUGUCGUUUUGUUGAUGGACCGUGCUGGAAAUAACGGCAUGAUGUCGUUAAGGACCGAAGCUCCCCCGACUCACUCAUCCGCCUUGCUGCCGCUCAACAAAACAUGCGAAACAACCAGACCGGAAACAACCGGUACAUUCAUUCACUCAGCCUAGAUGUCGGUGUUCUCCCCCGUCCAGGGUAAUCUGCUCUGCCGGACCCUCGAGGCCUUCAGAUUGACACCGAGAGCACAGGAUAUCACAUGAGCAGAUGUUCAUGCUGCGGUAACUGAGUGGAUGUGAAGGGUAGGGAUCUGAUAGCAGAUCCAUAAGAAGAGAAGAUGAAUACUGUACGACCUGGCCACAGAUGUAUGACUGCAAGCAAAUGGACCAUAUCAACUGAGAAAACACACGUGAUCAUGACUAGACAGACUAUGACCAGGCUGUACAUGCAUGACAUAUGUAUAACCACAAUCAGGACAUCCAACACCAAUCCAGUUUUUCUCCCCUCAGGAGUCAGAAACCUUGUCUCCCAAAGAUUAAAAGUGUGUUGAAUUUCCUUGCAUUGCUGCAGCUCUACUCAUAUUGGAGAGGAUGUGGCUGGACUGUGAUGUCCUACUGUAUGUCUAUUGGAGGUGUUCUGGGGCGCAGGCGGCUGUAUUACAGGGCCGAUGAAUGUAUUCUCUGACUGCGUCUUGGAAAUCCAACGCUAAAUGUCACAAUUUGCAUGCCGGUCCUCUGGGUUUGCGAAAUCAGAGCCGGAGAUAGACGCACGGGGGUACGGACCAGUAAUUGCCCUGAGAAAUUUCUCCCAGGAAAAAAAUGCUAUUCAUCUUAAAAUAUGAAACAUUUUCCCACCGAUUGAGUCGGACGUUCCACAGCGUAAAAAAAAUGUUGCCCCUUUGGCAGAGAAAACAACAUUCACCCGAGGAAACGUCGCUUCCAUCGCUUUCAGUUUUUAAGAACUUGCCACGGGGAAGCCAAGGACAAAAGAGCCAUUGAGGGAACUCAGAACCAGAUGAUCUCGGGGGCAUGAGCACAGUGUACUACAAUGCGAGUCAUUAGUCAUCUUUUAUUGCCUCGGUGACAAAAAGACAGAGGAAUCUCAUUUUCUUUUCUCUUCUCCUUUAUGGAAGUGUGGGGACAUUUUUGAAGAUGUGGGAUCAGGGAAUCCUGAGUCAUACAUAAAGCACAUUUAAUCUUAGCAGAAUGGUUUUUGUUUGGAACGCUUUUUGGGAGAAAUGUUUUCCCACUGAGCGGGCCCAAACUGGUGAAGAAGUCCAUUGUGCGGUGGGUGCGGACGCUGAGGGCUUUUCAGGAAAUGUAACCGGGUUCAUCUUUUUGCUUUCUCCAUUAUUUAUUUUCGAAAUCUCGUUUCCGACUCAGUUGUUUGCGCCUUCCCUCUGCGGUUUUCUUUCCCUCCGUUUGGCUGGUAACCUUAACAGCAAAAUGGCCGCAGUGCAAAAAUCUUCCCUGCGACAGAAAGAGGAUCACUCCAAGCCAAUAAAUUCAAGGGAUGCAUUUUGUCUUGAACAAAAAUCAGCACACAAUUGGACUUAGAUUAAAAAGAAAUAGUGAUAAUGAUAAACAUUCUGCAUUAUAUAUCAUAAUUCACUUCUUGUUUUAACUAACACCAUAAUGUUUUUUAAAAAGUCAUUUAAAGAGAUAGUUCACUUUCUGCAGUUUUCAAUUAGCCCAGACAGUCUUUUUUUUACAUGCAAUGAAAAAAGCUCAGCUCCACUGCCCCGCCCAGAGGUCCUGCCAGCGGUGACAGGUCUGUCGUCCUGUCUAGUGGAGUUGCUGGACUCUGUAACCCCAUCCAUUCGGCCCGACAGGAGCUGCCCUCACAAGCCCUCCAGAGGGUUCCUCGCCCUUAUGGCCUGCCGCCUGCCACCAUCAGCCUGCCAGAGGCUCCAUCUCCAGCCCUGCGGUGGGUCCCUCACCGCUGCUUGAUGUCAUGAGCGUUCCAGAGGGUGUGCCUGCCUGCCAUGACCCCACCGAUGCGUCCGCCUGGGCCACCAGUGCCAGGAAGCCAGGUGUUUGAUCCUGGGGGUGGCCUUGGACUUCCUGGCACGGGUAAUAUAACUUCCUCCCAGGGCUCAAAGCUAGGUGAGGGUGUGUGGUGCCAGGAGGGAGUUAGGGUGCUGUCCACCAGGGGGCAGCACCAACCCUAUACACAGGUAUGGCCACAGCUGUGAUGCAUCAUAAUCACUACAUCACUACAGAGGCCCCUUCCCUAAUCAAUGGGCUUAAUAAAAGGCCUGAUUGUGAGGCCUUUUUGUAGAACUGCUGUGUUGGUGCUUGGGGUGGCAUC